rnacentral:misc_RNA from 1 species
AUGAGGACAAAACCCUCUCCAAACCACUGUGAACCUACUGUGCUUCGUUGCUUCGGCAGGCGGCCCCGGGGGGGUCCCAGGCCUUUUGGCGCUUGCCGGACGGCACCACAAAAUCUUGCAGUUAUUACCUUCAGCAAUUAUUAGCCUGCCUUACGGGCGGCACAAUUAGUAA